UCCGGAGGGUGCGAGCGUUGUCCGGAAUCAUUGGGCGUAAAGGGUGCGCAGAUGGCUUGGUAAGUUAGCGGUGGGAAAUCGAGGCUCAACCUCGUGGAAGCCGGUAAUACUAUUAGGCUUGAGUGCAGGAGAGGUUAACGGAAUUCCAUGUGGAGCGGUAAAAUGUGUAGAUAUAUGGAAGAACAUCAAUAACGGCGAAGGCAGUUAACUAUUCUGCUACUGACAUUGAGGCACGAAAGCGUGGGGAGCAAAACGG
rnacentral:rRNA from 1 species